UUCCAGGUGUAGCGGUGAAAUGCGUAGAGAUCUGGAGGAAUACCGAUGGCGAAGGCAGCCAUCUGGCCUAAUACUGACACUGAGGUGCGAAAGCAUGGGGAGCAAACAGGAUUAGAUACCCUGGUAGUCCAUGCCGUAAACGAUGUCUACUAGCCGUUGGGGGAUUUGAUCCUUUAGUGGCGCAGCUAACGCGAUAAGUAGACCGCCUGGGGAGUACGGUCGCAAGACUAAAACUCAAAUGAAUUGACGGGGGCCCGCACAAGCGGUGGAGCAUGUGGUUUAAUUCGAUGCAACGCGAAGAACCUUACCUGGCCUUGACAUAGUAGAGACUUUCCAGAGAUGGAUUGGUGCCUUCGGGAAUCUACAUACAGGUGCUGCAUGGCUGUCGUCAGCUCGUGUCGUGAGAUGUUGGGUUAAGUCCCGCAACGAGCGCAACCCUUUUCCUUACUUGCCAGCAUUUCGGAUGGGAACUUUAAGGAUACUGCCAGUGACAAACUGGAGGAAGGCGGGGACGACGUCAAGUCAUCAUGGCCCUUACGGCCAGGGCUACACACGUGCUACAAUGGUCGGUACAAAGGGUUGCUACACAGCGAUGUGAUGCUAAUCUCAAAAAGCCGAUCGUAGUCCGGAUCGCAGUCUGCAACUCGACUGCGUGAAGUCGGAAUCGCUAGUAAUCGCGGAUCAGAAUGCCGCGGGUGAAUACGUUCCCGGGCCUUGUACACACCGCUCGUCACACCAUGGGAGUUUGUUGCACCAGAGUAGUAGUCUAACCGCAGGAGGACGCUUACCACGGUGUGCCGAUGACUGGGGUGAGUC
rnacentral:rRNA from 1 species